CGUACGGGUGAGUAACACGUGGAUCAUCUACCUUCUAGUGGGGAAUACCGUUGGGAAACCGACGACAAUACCGCAUAAGCUCGAGAGAGGAAAGCAGCAAUGCGCUGGAAGAGGAGUCCGCGGCUGAUUAGCUAGUUGGUAAGGUAACGGCCCACCAAGGCUUUGAUCAGUAGCCGGCCUGAGAGGGCACACGGCCACACUGGCACUGAAACACGGGCCAG
rnacentral:rRNA from 1 species